CUUAUACUUCCCUUAUUUUUAAACGACUAUGUAUAGAAGAGUAUAUCACUACUUGGUGCUUUCCUCAUGAUCUGUCUAGUGCAAUGUGGUUGCUGGAAGGAAGGCUAUCAAGCCCUGUAUGUGAGAAUAGAAGAAAGUUUGGUGAGAACAUGCACAGUGAACAGGUGGCCAUCACCCCGAGAGCACUUGAUCUUGGACCAUUAGCCUCCUGAGCCAUGAGAAGAGGAUUUCCAUCACUUGUCAAGAAGUCUACAGCGUGUUGUCAUCGUGGCUUCAGCAAAUAAGUGAUCUUACUCAGGAGCCCAGUCUAGACUGGAAUCGUGGCUAUCCACUUGCCUCAGCUUCAUGAGUAUUGGAACUUGUGACCAGCAUCGCUUCACAGUCAUGCUUUUGAAUCUGCAUUCAGCAGUUCCACAUUGAGUACUUGCGAAAGACGCACAGCUUUCUUGAGUAAUUUGCACCUCGUCUUCACCCUUACUUCUUGUGGAACACGUUUCCUCAUCAGCUCCUGAAGACCAGCUUCUCUCCUCCUGCCUCCUACAGCUGCAAGUUGUUCUCUUCACUGUUAUCUGUCUCUACAAGUUUUCCAAAAGCCUCCUUCGAUGACGACUCCAUUAGUUAAUGUCCUAUCUGAAAAAGAACUGUAUCAGCUCAGGACUCUCAAGACCAAGUUCUCUGCGCAAAGGAGAUUUAUUUUCCCGAGAGGGACAAAGGACAGGGAAUAAGAGACCAGGGCAGGAGACAGAGGAUGAGGAAGAAGGGGAGGGAACAAGGGAAGGAGAAGGGGUAUUUGUCCCAGAGGGGUACAAAGGACUGCCUCGGAAUAGAGAAGAGAGACAUGAAAAUGGAUGGUUUAUAAAGGCAAAAGGGGAAGCCCCAUGUUAGGAUGAAGUGUUUAAUUUUAAUUGGGCAUAUUAAUUAGUCGAGCCAAAGGGGGCUUUUGAUUGUUAGACUCUUAUUACUUUAAUAGCUAGCAGACAGCCUCAGGAGGAGGAAGUGGCCUCAGAAGAGAAUAGACCUCAGAGGACUGCAAUCUAAUGUUUUAUUUUGUUUGUUUGCUUGUUUGCUUGUUGUUGUUGUUGUUGGUUUUUUUGUUUUGUUUUGUUUUGUAUUUUUGGUUUUUAGCAAGACAGAGAAUGAGGGAGAAGGGCAAGGCCUGCCAGAGCCUUGUUUGCCAUGCUUGGCCUGACUAGAGUCCCUCCACUACCUCCUACUUGAUUCACUGUUCUUCUUACUACUCUGCUCCUAGCACACUGUGGUGGCUUGAAUAUGCUUGGCCCAGGGAGUGGCACUAUAAGGAGGUGUGGCCUUGUUGGAGGAAGUGUGUACUGGGGGUGGGUGGGUAAGGAGACCCUCCCCCUAACCAUGUAGGACCCAGUCUUCUCUUAGCAGCCUUCAGAUGAAGAUGUAGAACUCACAGCUCCUCCCGCACCAUGCCUGCCUGGAUGCUGCCGUGCUCCCUCCUUGAUGGUAAUGGUGUCUCUUCACAGCAGUAAAACCCUACCUAAGACAGACCCUCAGACAAGCAUUCAUAUGCACUCAUAAAGACUCCUGAGAAAAGCUUUUCCAUCCAUUAGCCAGGGUCAUUUAUUAAGGAAGAAAAGUCUCACGUUGUACACGAAGCCACUAUGAUUAUCACUGGACUUUAGGAAAACAAGCAAAAGCCUGUGUGGAGAUAAUAAAUGAUAGAGGAGAUGCGGUGGCUUAGAAGAGACUGAAGGACUCUUGCUGCUCUUCCAGAGGAACUGAGUUCAGUUCACAGCACCCACAACAGAUGGCUCCCAAGCAGCCGCAACUCCAGCUCCAGGGGAUCCUACUCCAUUUUCUAGACUCCAGGGGCAUCUGCACUCACAGGCAUGCAUGUGGACAUAUGCACACAAUUAACAAUGACUCUUAAUAAAAGUAAUAAAUGACAUUGAGGUAAAAGUUGA